CUAAGAUACCGAGUGGCGCACGGGUGAGUAACACGUAUCCAACCUGCCGAUAACUCGGGGAUAGCCUUUCGAAAGAAAGAUUAAUACCCGAUGGUAUAAUCAGACCGCAUGGUCUUGUUAUUAAAGAAUUUCGGUUAUCGAUGGGGAUGCGUUCCAUUAGGCAGUUGGUGAGGUAACGGCUCACCAAACCUUCGAUGGAUAGGGGUUCUGAGAGGAAGGUCCCCCACAUUGGAACUGAGACACGGUCCAA
rnacentral:rRNA from 1 species